GUGGGGAAUAUUGGACAAUGGGCGCAAGCCUGAUCCAGCAAUGCCGCGUGCAGGAAGAAGGCCUUCGGGUUGUAAACUGCUUUUGUACGGAACGAAACGGCUCUGGUUAAUACCCGGGGCUAAUGACGGUACCGUAAGAAUAAGCACCGGCUAACUACGUGCCAGCAGCCGCGGUAAUACGUAGGGUGCAAGCGUUAAUCGGAAUUACUGGGCGUAAAGCGUGCGCAGGCGGUUUUGUAAGACAGGCGUGAAAUCCCCGGGCUCAACCUGGGAACUGCGCUUGUGACUGCACGGCUAGAGUAUGGCAGAGGGGGGUGGAAUUCCACGUGUAGCAGUGAAAUGCGUAGAGAUGUGGAGGAACACCGAUGGCGAAGGCAGCCCCCUGGGCCAAUACUGACGCUCAUGCACGAAAGCGUGGGGAGCAAACAGGAUUAGAAACCCUAGUAGUCC
rnacentral:rRNA from 1 species